GUCUAUGGCCAUACCACCCCGAACGCACCUGAUCUCGUCUGCUCUUGGAAGCUAAGCAGGGUCCAGGCCUGGUUAAUACUUGGAUGGGAGACACCAUAUUUA
rnacentral:rRNA from 1 species